GAGCGUUGUCCGGAUUUAUUGGGCGUAAAGAGCUCGUAGGCGGCUUGUUGCGUCGACCGUGAAAACCCGGGGCUCAACUUCGGGCUUGCGGUCGAUACGGGCGGGCUAGAGUUCGGUAGGGGAGACUGGAAUUCCUGGUGUAGCGGUGAAAUGCGCAGAUAUCAGGAGGAACACCGGUGGCGAAGGCGGGUCUCUGGGCCGAUACUGACGCUGAGGAGCGAAAGCGUGGGGAGCGAACAGG
rnacentral:rRNA from 1 species